GUGUCCUGCCAGUGGUUUUACCCUAUGGUAGGUUACGUCAUGCUGUUCUACCACAGGGUAGAACCACGGACGGGAUGC
ensembl:miRNA